UACAGAGACUGCAAGCGUUAUUCGGAUUCACUGGGCGUAAAGGGCGCGCAGGCGGCCAAGUGUGUGAGGCGUGAAAGCCCGGGGCUUAACCCCGGAAUUGCACCUCAAACUACAUGGCUAGAGCAUUGGAGAGGGUAGCAGAAUUCAUGGUGUAGCAGUGAAAUGCGUAGAUAUCAUGAGGAAUACCAGAGGCGAAGGCGGCUACCUGGACAAUUGCUGACGCUCAGGCACGAAAGCGUGGGGAGCAAAAGGG
rnacentral:rRNA from 1 species